CAGGUUGAAAACCAAAGUAAAGGUUGAUAAGUUGAGCUGCGGUUGCCACUACAAUGUCUGCAUGACUUGUGACGUCUGGAAGUCGAAGAGAUAGAAAAACAACAUAUCAGUGGAAUGCCAACAACCGCAAUCUGAGAGACGCCAAAAGAAAAGUCAAUAAAAUAGUUUGAAGACAGCAAAGUAAGUACAGAAACCACAAGAACUAGCAUAUAGGACAGGAAAACAACGGGAACGAUGGAGAUAUCAAUGAAAAAAAUCAUUCUGAACAGAUGUGAAGGCGGCAGGAAAAAUUAGAAACCUUCCUCGUAUCUUUAAUGUUGCAUUACAUAGAAAUGUAAUCCUUUUUUAACAGAAACACUUCCUGAUGCAAAGGCGUAAUUGUGCAUUUUAUGUAUCUUGUAAAGUAAGUGACAACUAUCUAAGAGAUUUCAUUAUGCAAAUGUAUUAAUGAUGAUAUCACUGCAAUACCUAUCAACAUCGGGAAUCGCGCUUUCCUGAAACAAUUAAAAACUGAACUCAUA